rnacentral:rRNA from 1 species
CGAAGGCGGCUGUCUGGUCUGCAACUGACGCUGAGGCUCGAAAGCAUGGGUAGCGAACAGGAUUAGAUACCCUGGUAGUCCAUGCCGUAAACGAUGAGUGCUAGGUGUUGGAGGGUUUCCGCCCUUCAGUGCCGGAGCUAACGCAUUAAGCACUCCGCCUGGGGAGUACGACCGCAAGGUUGAAACUCAAAGGAAUUGACGGGGGCCCGCACAAGCGGUGGAGCAUGUGGUUUAAUUCGAAGCUACGCGAAGAACCUUACCAGGUCUUGACAUCUUGCGCUAACCUUAGAGAUAAGGCGGUUCCCUUCGGGGACGCAAUGACAGGUGGUGCAUGGUCGUCGUCAGCUCGUGUCGUGAGAUGUUGGGUUAAGUCCCGCAACGAGCGCAACCCUUGUUACUAGUUGCCAGCAUUGAGUUGGGCACUCUAGUGAGACUGCCGGUGACAAACCGGAGGAAGGUGGGGACGACGUCAGAUCAUCAUGCCCCUUAUGACCUGGGCUACACACGUGCUACAAUGGACGGUACAACGAGUUGCAAACUCGCGAGAGCAAGCUAAUCUCUUAAAGCCGUUCUCAGUUCGGACUGUAGGCUGCAACUCGCCUACACGAAGUCGGAAUCGCUAGUAAUCGCGGAUCAGCAUGCCGCGGUGAAUACGUUCCCGGGCCUUGUACACACCGCCCGUCACACCACGGGAGUUUGUAACGCCCAAAGUCGGUGGCCUAACCUUUGUGGAGGGAGCCGCCUAAGGCGGGACAGAUGACUGGGGUGAAGUCGUAACAAGGUAGCCGUAGGAGAACCUGCGGCUGGAUCACCUCCUUUCUAAGGAA